GACAGAGGGUGCAAACGUUGUUCGGAAUUACUGGGCGUAAAGCGCGUGUAGGCUGUCUCGAAAGUCGGAUGUGAAAGCCCUGGGCUCAACCUAGGAACUGCAUCCGAAACUGCGAGGCUCGAGUCCUGGAGAGGGUAGUGGAAUUCCCAGUGUAGCGGUGAAAUGCGUAGAUACUGGGAGGAACACCCAUGGCGAAGGCAGCAAACUGGUCAUCAACUGACGCUGAGGCGCGAAAGCGUGGGUAGCAAACAGG
rnacentral:rRNA from 1 species